UUAUAUAUUUUAAUUGUCAUUAACUUACUUUACUAAUCAGUUGAAUAAUUAUAUUAUUAUAUUACAUAUAGGUGUUAAAAAUGAAUUUUAGGCAACAAAGAAGUUGGAUGUACAACCGACGAAAAAAAUGGAAAGUUUAGUUUAAGAUUUAUGAGAGGGUUGGAAGAGUUUUUAGAUUUUGCUCAUACAAAUAGCAUGAGUUCUGAGAUUAGAUGUCCUUGUAAAAAGUGUAAAAAUUGUUGUUAUAAGGAACCAAAUGAAAUAAAAGAACAUCAAAUGAGAAGGGGAUUUGUUGAAAAUUACUAUGAGUGGGAAUAUCAUCAAAACACAGAGGUAGGAACAACAUUUGAUGUUGUAGCGGUAGUGGGAGAGCAAUCGUCAAACAAUCCAAAUCCAUACUCACAGACGGUGCAUGAUGUAGUAGCUAAUGUAUUUCCAGACACUUACCAUCAGUUUCUUCCCUCCCAGUAUGAUGUAGUAUCAGUAGAUAAUGAACCACUGGUACACGUUGACGAAUAUCCAAACCCUCAGUGUCGACAGUUCUUUGAAAUGUUAAAUUCUGUAAAUAGUCCUUUAUUUAAAGGUUGUAAAAAUCACACCAAGAUGUCUAUUAUUGGUCGACUUACAAACCUGAAGAUAGACCAUCGUCUCAUUGAGAGGUGUUACGACGAUAUUUGUGCUAUUGUGAACGAAGUGUUACCAGAAGAGAAUAUGAUGAUAAACAACUUCUAUGAAACGAAAAAACAAAUAGUUGCCCUAAGAUUACCCCGUUGAGAAGAUAGAUUGUUGUCCUAACGGAUGUAUGAUCUAUUGGGGGAAUAAUGCGAAUGUAACUUGCUGUUAUAUUUGUGAAACUUCUAGAUGGAGAAGAAACAGUAAAGGUGAUAAGGUUUCGCGAAAACAAUUUCAUUAUUUCCCCUGGGCCCUAGAUUACAAAGAUUGUAUGUUUCAGAGGCAACAACUAGGCAUAUGAGGUGGCAUGCAGAGUACCGCACUAAAGAUGGAGAGAUGAUACAUCCGUCCGAUGCUGAAGCGUGGUUGACAUUUAACGACAUGCAUCCAGACUUUGCAAUGGAGACUCGAAACGUGCGGCUUGGUCUGUGUACAGAUGGUUUUAACCCCUUUAAAAGUUCGGGUCAACAGUAUUCAUCGUGGCCUGUCAUUGUUACACCAUACAAUCUUCCGCCAUGGAUGUGCAUGAAGAAGCUGUAUAUGUUCUUGACCGUGAUUGUCCCUAGGCCGAGUAAUCCAAAGCACAACAUUGACUUAUAUCUUCAACCACUAAUACAAGAGCUGAAUGUUGUGGGAGGAGGGGAUUUGUACAUUUGAUGUGUCAAGAAAGGAGAAUUUCCAAUUGCGAGCAGCUUUAAUGUGGACGAUCAAUGACUUUCCAGCUUAUUCGAUGUUGUCUGGGUGGAGUACUGCAGGCCGAUAUACUUGCCCUUACUGCAUGGAUGAUUCACAAGCCUUCUACCUUACGCAUAGCAAGAAGAUGUGUGGUUUGACUGUCAUAGAAGGUUUUUAGAUAGAAGUCAUCCCUAUAGGAGAAAUAGAACAAAUUUCAGAUCAAGCCUUGUUGAGAAAAGAGAUCCACCUAUUAUUCGGUCUGGACAUGAAUUGCUUGAUGAAUUAGACCAGUUUGGUUUUUUGAGAGUCAAUGAAGAAGAUGCACCGGAACAUAAUAGGAGGUUAGUAAGUACUCUGCUGGAUGGAAGAAGAGGAGCAUAUUCUAGGAUUUGCGUAUAUUGAAAAACUAACAUGAUUCGACAUAACUUGGAUGUUAUGCACAUAGAGAAGAAUGUUUUUGAUAACAUUUUCAACACUUUGUUGUGUGUGCCAAGUAAAACAAAGGAUCACAUCAAGGGUAGACACGAUCUGCGUGAACUUGGUAUACGUUCAGAAUUGCAUCCUAUAGAUAUGUGCUUUGCUUCAAUGGUUGAAAAGUAUUAGAUUUCCCGAUGAUUAUGUGUCCAAUAUGGCAAGGAAUAUUGACAUGCCAAGCAUCAAUUGUUCGGCAUGAAAAGUCACGACUGUCAUGUUUUCAUGCAACGCUUAAUUCCAAUUGCAUUCAGAGAAUUGCUAUCGGUGAAGGUUUGGGAAGCUCUUACCAAGUUGAACUUAUAUUUUAGAAGUUUGACAAUCACAAAGCUAUGUGUGGAGGAUUUGAGGAAGAUGGAAGGGUAGUAAUUGGAAGGGUGUCACCAAAUCCACGAAAGAUUUUUAUUUUAAUAAAUUUAAGAAACAAUACAAAUGGGACCCUCGCCUCGAACAUUUCUUUCGGGGGUCAUGGGAGGAAAAAGUCGCAAAGCGCUAUGCGGAUAUGCUUUUCAAAUGGCGCAGGACGUUGAAAAGCAAGCUUGAUUUUAAACCCCCUUCCAUCGAUAAUGAGACUUGGGCGCGAUCGAAAGCUGAUUGGGAACGCCCUGAUAAUAAAACUGUUUCGGCUAGGAAUUCCUCCAAUCGACGUGGAGGAAGAGACAAAGCUAAAGCCACCCAUAUAGGUGGCUCAGUCCCGCACGCCAGUACAAUGCGGGAUUUGGAACAAUCGAAAGGUCAAAGACCCACAGCCUAUGAAAUAUUUACACGAACACAUGGGGUCUUUUACACUGAAAGUGGGGAUUGUUCGCAAUGGACUAAUGUCAAGUCACAAAAAGUUAACGUAAUAAUCUUUUAAACUUAUUUAUUUCUUUUUUUUUUAACUAUCAAUUGAUACUUUGUUUAUUUGUAAUUGAUUUCUUUGUUUUAUUAAAUGAUGAAUAUCGUGCUUUAAUGGAGGAGCAUUCAACCCGCGACCCAAAUGAAAUUUGGUUGGAUGCUAUAAAAAAUGUAGAAAGCGGGUCAAGCACAAAAAACAAAAAAAAAACAAAAAGAUAUUUGGGGUUGGGUCCGCCUCCCAAAUUAUUUAUCCACCUAAGCCAACGGAUAUUCCGUCUUCUCAGCCUGCACAACCUGAUUAUGAUGUCAUCAUUCAACAAAGGUUUGCAGAUUUAGAAGCACGGCAAAUGGAGUUCAACAAUCAUUUAUGGGAAGCGGUACGAAUGGGAAAUGCUCAAAUUGCCUAUGAGACUCACCAAAGGCUGACUGAACAAAUCCAAAGAGAACGAGAACUCUUUUUGAAAUUUAUUCAAUCGCAUCUCAAUUUGUAUCAACCCCCUCCUCCACCUCUUCAAUCAAUGAUUAAAUAUAUGUAAUUUUUAUGACUUUGUAAAUAAACUUUUGUUUUUUAUAUAAUA